GACGGAGGGUGCUAGCGUUGUUCGGAAUCACUGGGCGUAAAGGGCGCGUAGGCGGCUGUGGCAGUCGGGUGUGAAAGCCCGGAGCUCAACUCCGGAACGGCACUCGAGACGCCAUGGCUGGAGGCCGGAAGAGGAGGGUGGAAUACCCAGUGUAGAGGUGAAAUUCGUAGAUAUUGGGUGGAACACCGGUGUCGAAAGCGGCUCUCUGGUCCGGACCUGACGCUGAGGCGCGAAAGCGUGGGGAGCAAACAGG
rnacentral:rRNA from 1 species